UGAGUAACCUGCCCUUAACUCUGGGAUAAGCCUGGGAAACUGGGUCUAAUACCGGAUAUGACUCCUCAUCGCAUGGUGGGGGGUGGAAAGCUUUUUUGUGGUUUUGGAUGGACUCGCGGCCUAUCAGCUUGUUGGUGAGGUAAUGGCUCACCAAGGCGACGACGGGUAGCCGGCCUGAGAGGGUGUCCGGCCACACUGGGACUGACGAUACGGCCCAGACUCCGUAGGGAGCAG
rnacentral:rRNA from 1 species